rnacentral:rRNA from 1 species
GGGGCAUCGGGAGGGAAGCUUGCUUUCCUUGCCGGCGACCGGCGCACGGGUGAGUAACACGUAUGCAACCUGCCCUCUUCAGGGGGACAACCUUCCGAAAGGGAGGCUAAUCCCGCGUAUAUCGGUUUCGGGCAUCCGAGAUCGAGGAAAGAUUCAUCGGAAGAGGAUGGGCAUGCGGCGCAUUAGCUAGACGGCGGGGUAACGGCCCACCGUGGCGACGAUGCGUAGGGGUUCUGAGAGGAAGGUCCCCCACACUGGUACUGAGACACGGACCAGACUCCUACGGGAGGCAGCAGUGAGGAAUAUUGGUCAAUGGGAGAGAUCCUGAACCAGCCAAGCCGCGUGAGGGAAGACGGCCCUAUGGGUUGUAAACCUCUUUUGUCGGAGAACAAAACCCGGGACGUGUCCCGGACUGCGUGUAUCCGAAGAAAAAGCAUCGGCUAACUCCGUGCCAGCAGCCGCGGUAAUACGGAGGAUGCGAGCGUUAUCCGGAUUUAUUGGGUUUAAAGGGUGCGUAGGCGGUCCGUUAAGUCAGCGGUAAAAUUGCGGGGCUCAACCCCGUCGAGCCGUUGAAACUGGCAGACUUGAGUUGGCGAGAAGUACGCGGAAU